GCUUCAAUAGCUCAGUUGGUUAGAGCACCUGACUGUUAAUCAGGNNUCAAGUCCAUCUUGAAGCGCAA
rnacentral:tRNA from 1 species